rnacentral:rRNA from 1 species
GACGAACGUUGGCGGCGUGCUUAAUACAUGCAAGUCAACUGAAGCAGUGGUAGCAAUAUCGCUGUGGAGGUGGCGCACGGGUGAGUAACACGUAGGUAAUCUGCCUUCAGGUCUGGCAUAACUCCGGGAAACCGGGGCUAAUAGCAGAUGAUGCAGCGGCUCGACAUCGAGACAGUUGUUAAAGCUAUGGCGCCUGAAGAUGAGCCUGCGUCUGAUUAGCUAGUUGGCGGGGUAACAGCCCACCAAGGCAACGAUCAGUAGCUGGUCUGAGAGGAUGAUCAGCCACACUGGAACUGAGACACGGUCCAGACUCCUACGGGAGGCAGCAGUAAGGAAUAUUGCUCAAUGGGAGAAAUCCUGAAGCAGCAACGCCGCGUGAGGGACGAAGGGCUUUUGCUUGUAAACCUCUGUAGUGAGAGAAAAAAAUCCCAAUCUUUGGGACAUGAUGGUAUCUCAAAAGUAAGCCCCGGCUAACUACGUG